rnacentral:rRNA from 1 species
AUUGAACGCUGGCGGCAGGCCUAACACAUGCAAGUCGAACGAGUGGCGGACGGGUGAGUAAUGUCUGGGAAACUGCCUGAUGGAGGGGGAUAACUACUGGAAACGGUAGCUAAUACCGCAUACCAUCGGAUGUGCCAAGAUGGGAUUAGCUAGUAGGUGGGGUAACGGCUCACCUAGGCGAAGAUCCCUAGCUGGUCUGAGAGGAUGACCCGCCCCACUGGAACUGAGACACGUUCCCGCCUCCUACGGUAGGCAGCCGUGGGGAAUAUUGCACAAUGGGCGCAAUCCUGAUGCAGCCAUGCCGCGUGUAUGAAGAAGGCCUUCGGGUUGUAAAGUACUUUCAGCGGGGAGGCGUUACCCGCAGAAGAAGCACCGGCUAACUCCGUGCCAGCCGCCGCGGUAAUAC